GGAAAGAUGGCUGAGUGGCUUAAGGUCUUGGUUUUGAAAACCAACACAUUUUUACAAUGUCGGGGGUUCGAAUCCCUCUCUUUCCU
rnacentral:tRNA from 1 species